AACAUUAGAUGAAAAUUACUUGAUUGGUUCCAUUCCACACGCCCUCUUCAACAUUUCUACUCUUCAAGUUCUUUCAUUUUCUGGGAAUGCCCUCUCUGGAGUUCUUCCUCCCAAUUUGUGCCAAGAUGAAGCCAUUCCAAUCAUUGAAGAGCUUUUUGUUGGCGAAAAUUUCAUUUCUGGACCAAUACCCAACUCUAUCUCCAAUUGUUCUCAACUCAGACUUCUCUCUCUUAAUGAAAACAAAUUCAGUGGUUAUAUACCUACUGAUCUCGGCAACCUAAGAUUUCUCCAACGCCUUGAACUGUUCAGCAACAAUCUUUCUUCAAACCUCGAUUUCAUUGUCAAAUUGCAGGUCUUUAAAUCGUUUGGCUUUAGGUAAUAAUCCUCUGUACGGCGUCGUUCCACCUUCUAUUGGGAAUUUAUCUUCCUCACUCCAACAAUUCUAUGCCGGUGGUUGCAAAUUGAACGGCACCAUUCCUGCUCAAAUAGCCAAUUUAACAAGCUUGGCGAUCUUGAGUUUCCCUGACAAUGAGUUACCUGGUAAUGUUCCCCUCUCAAUCAAACAUUUGCGUGGCCUUCAAGGAUUAGAUCUUAGUGCUAACAUGUUGCAAGGCCCCUUUCCGUAUGUUGUAUGUGAUUUAUACAACCUCGUUCAUAUAAAUAUUAGCCGAAAUCAAUUCUCAGGUUCAAUUCCUAAACGCCAACAGGUUCAAACAUUUUUAAGAGUUGUUUUUCUAAACGCCAACAUGUUCGAUUCAAGUAUACCAUCCAACUUAUGGGGCCUUGAAGAUUUGCUCAAUCUUGAUUUGUCCUCAAAUUCAUUAACUGGCUUUUUACCUCAAGAGACAAGUAACUUAGGAGCAUCAAUAUCUAUUGAUCUCUCCAUGAAUCAGUUGUCGGGGUCUAUUCCCGACACUAUUGGAAAGUUGCAGAAUUUGGCAAAAGGUUCUAUUCCAGUUUCCAUGGGAAGCAUGAUCAGUUUGGUGACUCUUGACUUGUCCCGUAAUAACCUCUCUGGUUCAAUUCCAAAGUCUUUGGAAGAGCUUCAAUACCUCAACUAUUUCAAUGUCUCUUUCAAUAGUUUGAGUGGAGAAAUUCCUAGUGGUGGCUCUUUCAGAAACUUUACUAUGGAUUCUUUAAGGGCAAUGAGGCAUUGUGUGGAAUCCCGAGAUUCCAUGUCCCAAUUUGCCCUGCAGUUUCUAAUCAUGUAUCAAAGAGGAAGGAGGUGGAGCGCGCUUUAUUUGUUGCUUUCGGAGUUGUGGCUUUCGUUUCAAUUGUGUCUUUGGCUUUUAUCUUAAUUAGAUGCAAAAGGAAAGAUAAGAGAACUAGAGAAGUUGAUGAGUUCAUAUCCAUUGUGCCAGAAAGAAUAUCUUAUUAUGAGCUUAUGCAAGCAACUGAACAACUCAGUGAGAGCAAUUUGCUUGGAAUUGGGAGUUCUUGCUCUGUUUACAAAGGCAUUCUUAACAAUGGGAAUGUUGUCGCCGUUAAGGUGUUCAAUCUUCAAUUACAAGGCAUUUUGAGGAGAUUUGAUGUCGAAUGUGAGAUACUUCGUAGCAUUCGACAUAGGUGUCUGACAAGCAUCUUAAGUUGUUGUUCCAAUGAAGAGUUCAGGGCAUUGUAUCUUCACCAUGGCUGUUCAACACCUAUUGUUCAAAGCGACCUGAAGCCAAGUAAUGUGUUGUUAGAUGAAGAUAUGGUUGGCCAUGUAAGCGAUUUUGGGAUAGCAUGGUGUUAACCAACACCCUAGGAACAUUUGCUCCAGAGUAUGGUUCAGAAGGACUAGUCUCCACAAGGUGCGAUGUGUAUAGCUAUGGUGUGAUGUUGAUGGAAGUAUUCACGAGAAAAAGGGCAAGUGAUGACAUGUUUGUUGGAGAUCUAAGCUUGAAGAGUUGGAUCGAAAGGUCAGUUCCAGAAUUCACAUAUCAAGUUAUAGAUGCCAACUUAGUAAUGAAUGUUGAAGAAGAAAAUGGUGACAAAUUUGUGGAAUUGACAACAUCCUUAUUGGAGUUAGCUUUAAAGUGCUCUGCACAUUCCCCUAAUAAAAGGAUUAAUAUGAAAGAAGCUCUUGCAGAACUGCAGAAAAUCCAACGUGGCUUUUUGGAUGAAGCUUAAAUCAAAGAGGGAAACACCUUAUUUGGUAAAGCAAAUGCAGAGAGGGUCCGACAUAUUUAUAAGCUUUGCAUUGUUGUGUAAUUCCAUUGACAGUUUUGUUUUAUGUUUUCUAGUAUGUUUUAUUCAUUGAACUCAUCUUUAUCUACCUCAAAUUUUAUGCUUUCAAACAUUGUCACCAAUGAGAUCUGAAAUUUCUCCCUGUUU